rnacentral:rRNA from 1 species
CUACGGGCGGCUCCAGUGAGGAAUAUUGCACAAUGGGGGAAACCCUGAUACAGCAACGCCGCGUGGAGGAUGACGCAUUUCGGUGUGUAAACUCCUUUUAUAUGUCAAGAAAAUGACGGUAGCAUAUGAAUAAGCACCGGCUAACUCCGUGCCAGCAGCCGCGGUAAUACGGAGGGUGCAAGCGUUACUCGGAAUCACUGGGCGUAAAGGAAGCGUAGGCGGGUUGGAAAGUCAGGUGUGAAAUCCUACAGCUUAACUGUAGAACUGCACUUGAAACUUCUAAUCUAGAGUAUGGGAGGGGGAGAUGGAAUUAGUGGUGUAGGGGUAAAAUCCGUAGAUAUCACUAGGAAUACCUAAAGCGAAGGCGAUCUCCUGGAACAUUACUGACGCUAAGGCGUGAAAGCGUGAGGAGCAAACAGGAUUAGAUACCCGAGUAGUC